AACGACAACUGCUGUAAACUCAACCCCUCUCUCUCUCUCUCUCUCUCUCUCUUUCUCUCUCUCUUCUCUAAACAACUACACAGAAAACCACUUUUCUCUCUCUACAACACUACGGCGCUUUUGGCGGCCACACCGCCAAGCUCUCCGUCGAGUCCGGCGAUUGAACCACACCAAUUUGGUUGUGGCAAGUGCCAGAGACGAUAAAAAGAGCUCGUUGUGGCGGAAGAAUGGGGAGAGUGUGGGGACCAUUCCAAUGGCCUGCGCCGAGGCUAUCCAUAACAUUGAGGUGCUUUUGAUUUUGAUGAGCUCCUUAUUUUUACUAGAUCAAAUGAAGCUGAGGCUAAUGCAAUCAAGAACAGUCUAGAGCUUUAUGCUGAAUGCCUCUCAUUCUACUCAAGCUCUAGUUAAACAAGCUCUAGGCUUGAGGAAACGUGAAGGAGACGCGAUUUAUCUUGGGUUACCUCUUUUUUAUUGGAAGAUCAGAAAGGUUGACAAGCUCAAGGGGUGGAAGAGCUAGACUUUGUCAUAUGCAGGUAGAUCUACCCUUAUCAAAUCUGCAGCCUUAUCAAUGCCUGUGUAUGCGAUGUCUUCCUUUAAACUCUCCACUCACAUUUGCAAUUCAAUGAAUGCUAAGAUAGCUUGGUUCUGGUGGGGAGGAUGAAAGGAAAGUUCACCUCAAGGCAUGAGAUUGUGUGUCAGUCAAAACCUGUUGGGGGAUUGGGCUUUAGCAAAAUGGAAGAUAUGAACAACGCCUUGUUGUCUAAAUUAGCGUGUCAGCUCCUAAGCAAGGAGAAGAAAUUAUGGGUUUCCAUCUUGACCGCAAAAUACUGUGACCAGUCUUCUUUUCCUGAGGUUCGUAAUAAAAUUUUAGAUUCAGCUAUUUGGAAAGGAAUUUUAUACACUAGAGAUCUUUUCCUUGGUGGUUGCAAAAACGAUGGAGAUGGCUCAUCUACAGACAUAUGGAAAGGCCCUUGGCUCCUAAUCUUGAGUCUCACGAAGUUCCUCAUCCACAAAUUAACCCUCCCCCUAUUCAUAAGGUUUGUGAGCUAUUUAGCAGUCUCUCACAUAGAAUGUCAGCCUCCUUCAAUAGUUUUUUUAGCCCCAUGUGGUUCAGUCGUUAAAAAUGAUACCUAUUGCUGCUGCUAAUUCUGAAGACAAACGGUUGUGGUUGCCAGAGCAACAUGGAAAUUUCUCAGCUAGAUCUGCCUAAUCUCUCCAAUCUUGUCAUUCAAAUCUUCAAGCUAUUGGGCUCACUUCUCAAGAAUGGCUGAAGCUUUGGAAGGCUAAGAUCCAUGAACGGUUCAAGGUUAUACUGCGCAGAGUUGCUACAGAUACUCUACCGCUCAGGUCUAUCCUAGCUGCUAGAUUCCAGAUAAAUGAGGUUAGCUGCCCUUUUUGUAAUCAGGUGCCUGAGACAGCAACCCAUCUUUUCUUCACAUGCCAUCUUGCAAAAUGGUAUGGUUUGAUGCAAGGAUUUUAAAAUCUUAAAUCAUGGCAUCUUCCUACCCCAGCCUUGGCCUAAAUGGGACAACUUUGUUCUUUUUACGGGUAUUGUUAUUGAUAGACUAUGGAAAGUCCGUGACGAUCAUAUCUUUAGUGGCAAGGUGAUUGACCAUGAAGUGUUGCGUAAAGAAAUCCAUGGCUUAUGGUCCGAACAUAUCCGUAGCAGAGAAGACACUUUCCAUCACAUGGAGCAUGACACAGGUAUGUUGUCUCUUAAACGUUGGCUUCCCCCCUUGCAAGGCUACAUAAAAGUUAACUUUGAUGCUCCGUAUAAGAAAGAUAAAAUGGUUCUUGCUGCAAAAGCUCGCGAUAGGUUUGGAAAUGUCUUAUGGGCUAUAACCAAAAUGGGUGUCUCUUCUUGUGGGUUCACCAAAAACAAUGUAAGUAUCCCUCAAUGUGCUUAUCUGAUUUCUUGGUUGUGAGAUUCCAUGUGCCUCCAUCUCAAGCGGAGGUGGUUUAUAACUGGAAGUUUGAGGUUGACAGAUCUUUUGUUGAUUCGACUCUUUCACCAUUGUGCUUUUAGCAAAAGCAUGGGUCAAGCAUGUUGAUAUAUCAACAUUGAGCUGGGCAGCUUAAUCAUAGUGAGUUCAAAAUGACUACAUAUUAGAAGCGACUUGAAAACUAUCAUGUCAAAAAUCAUAUAGCUUCUUUAGUUCAAUAUCUAAAUUUUCCUAUAGCUUCUUUAGUUCAGUAACUAAAUUUCACAAGCCCCCUAUUGUUUCUUUAGUUCAGUAUCUAAAUUGUACCACGACAAGCGAGUAAAGAGGUCUACGAAGAGAAUUGGACACAUACCAAAUUGGUUUGUUUGUUUGUUUUUUAAAAAGAGAUUACAUACAGAUGUGGAUGAUGGAGCCCAAACGAGGGUUUUGGGUGAAAAUAAGAAAUGAAGUGAUUAUGGUUUUUUUCUCUCCGUGCGUCUAAUACGUCCAAAAGCAUUCUCCAGGCUUUGCUGCUAUUUUUGUAUAUGCUUAGCAUUGUCCAAUGUUUGUGUCUCGGACAUUAUUCAAUCAGUGUCGACACUUACAAAAAUCCUAAGAAUGGAAUUGAGAGGGGGAACUCAUGAAAAAUGUAGGAAAACUAACAGAGAGAGCAACUGUUAUAGCCUCUCUUUUUUUACCAAAUCCAACAUCCAAAAGCCUCUUUUCACUUCCACAUUUUCAUUUCUGGCAAGAUUAAGCCCAUGCCCACGUGUGUUGCUAUGGUUUAGAUAAAAAGAAAACUGUCGGUUUUGGUUACAGUUUUGGUUUUAGUUAACGAGUUUGGGUUUUGCUUUUAGUUUUAUACCAAUACCUUAACUAAACCAAACCGUUGUUGUCCGUAAACUAAAGCCGACAAGUAUUUUUGAAGUUUGAGUUAAUGAGUAGCCUCUAUCGGUGCACUUUCCAUUAUCUAAACCGACCGAUCAAUCAAUCAAUAUCCUAUACAAAUGUGUUUGAGACCGAAAGCCUCUAAACUCCUAAUCCUUAAACAGGACCUUAAUUCCUAGAUUUUCCAUUUUAGUUUUUUCUUUUAAUACAGGUGGCAAUCUCAUUAGUGAUUUCAAAGAGAGAGAUUAAUCGGUUAAGUUCAAGUCCAAAUGGUGGUUCCCCUACCUCAACCAACCUCGUGUUCUCCCCACAACCCCUUUCCCCUCAGUCAGUUAGUGAUUUUAUUUUGGGUGCAAUUUAUAAUUUCGUUUGAAAUUCAUGGAAAAAUAGUUCUUCGAAUGCGUCUUUUGCGAAAUUUUAGUUUGACUAUGGAGAUUUGAAUCUAAGGAUUGAGCGAGGAACUCCGACUACUUUCCUUGUGUUUCUUUCCGUACGUCUAAUACAUUCAAAUGCACUCCGCAGUGUUUUCUAUCUCAAAUAUUAUUCAAUCAGUGUCACUAGUUUAACACUCAUAAAUCCUCGGAAUGGAAUGGAGUGUAGUACAGUUGGCCUCCCUUACAUACUCUCAUGCACGCGGAUAGAGUUCGAUCCCCCUCCCCCAGUCCCUUAAGAUAGUGUAAAUUAGGAAUAACCGGUGGGGAAUUCCUCAAAAGGGACUUAAGAGGAGGAAGUCAUGAAAUUUGAACUAUUAAUUAUCAAGACGGACAAUUCGGUUUGCGCACUAUUCGAUUCCACGUGCAAAAGCCUCUUUUGACUCGACUUUUUCAUUUCUGGCUAGGAUAAGCAUAAGCCCACGUCCAUGCCUGAUACUGAAAGGUAAUUAAACUAAAGUAGGUAAGUAUAUUUUAACUUUGAGUUAAUGAGUAAUCUCUAUUAGUGCACUUUCCAUUUAUCUAAACUGACCUAUAAAAGCUACUAAAAAAAGAAUACUCUCGUUUACUAGCACUUAUAAUUUAGCUUUUAAAUUAUAACUUUUUACAUUAUCAGCUUAAAAAUAUAUAUUAAGUAGUUAAACGGUUUCUAAUAGUUUUUUAUAAGUUGUAAAAAAAGUUUAACAUGUUUGUUUGGAUAAGCUGCCAAAUAGCUUUUUGGAAAUCAAAUGUCCAGAUUGCCCUUAUUCACAGUUGUAAAUGGUAGUUUUUCUAAAUGGGCUUAAAUUCUUUUGUCCAUUCAUUGUUUUAACAAACUUAAAAUAAGCAAAAAAGUUUCAAAUUGGAGCUUAAAAUAAUUUAGUUUUUUGGGUCAGAUAAGCUAGAAAAGUUAGAUAAGUGAUUAUUCGUAAUUUUUAACAAACAUCCUUUCAUUAGCUUUGUUUCAGCAACUAGGCUAUAUAAAUAAGUUAAAUUAUAUUAAGCGCCAGCAAACGAGGGAAAAACCUGUUUACCUUUUAUUUCCUUUUGUGGACGAAACAACUGGACCUCUCCAAAUAAUGUGAUUUCAAGCUUUUGCUACGAACCCUGCUACACAAACAGAUAGAUUUCGUUGUGGGGUCCACCACGGGUUUCACACAAAUAAUUCAAGUCAUUUAUUAAAUUUAAAACAUUUUUUUGAGAGUCUCCGCAAAAAAUCAGCUCAAUCCGUUACCUAUAUCUAAUCGUGUAACUUUUCAUUAUCCUGAAAUCUGAAUGAAAAGUUAAACGAUUGGAUCAAGUAUCUAUAAAUAUCAGAUUGAGCGGAUUUUUAGUGUGAACCCUUAAAAAAUGUCUUACAUUUAAUGAAUAGCUCAGAUCAUUUGUAUAGACGUGGUAGAUUCCACAACAAAAUUUGUGCAGAAUACACUAAUAGUCUGUGUGAACAGACUUUCUGUUUGCUACGUAAAUUGCCAAACAUUUCAAAGUAGAACAAUUAUAGGAGUAUAUGAUGGUUCACCAACCGGUGUAAUUUAGAAUCUGUCACAUUAUUGCUAUUGGGAUGUGACAUGGUGGUCAUUCGUCCAUUAACUUUAGCAUCAUAAAAUUAGUCGAUGUGCGUUUGAGUACGACUUAGACGCCUGAUCACAAAAGUAAAAACCAACAAGGAUUUGUUGAAGGUUGAUUCUAAAUUCGAGGAUCAAUCUUUGUUCGGCUAAAAAAGCUAUUAUGGAUUAUUUUUUGUCCUUAUUUAAAUUUUUUGCAUUUGUUGAUUUUUUGUUAAAUUUUUGUGGAUUAUUACUUUAUCAUAACGAGAGAAAUCUAAAAAGCAAAAAAUUAUGACUGAAAUUUAAUUUUUUUGAAUAAAGAUAAAAAUAAACCAAUAAGUCAUUUUUUCGUCGUUAUUCAAAAAAAAUUGGUUUUGAUAUUAGUUUUUUACUUUUUAGAUUCCUUUCGUCAUGACGAAGCAAUAAUCUUUAAAAAAAUUGACGAAAAACUAACAAAUGCAAUUUUUUUUAAUAAGAACAAAAAAUAAUCCAAAAUGAAUUAUUUAGCCGAACAAGUUAGUAUCUCAUAGUGAAGCCAGCCCCACAGGCCACGAUACUUCAACGAAAAAACUAUUUAGGCCAUGUACCGCUAAGAAAGAUAAAUACUUAUGUUUUGAAUUAAAUGUAAUUUAUUGUAAGAGAAUAUCAUGUCUCGUAAAGUAAAAAAUAAGUACUUGAAAAAUAAGAACCUUACAAAACGGAGCCAAGGUUCUUGAACUAUAAUUUCGUACCCAUCUAAUUUCCUUUUUCAUGUUCUAUUAAUUUUCUUUUUUUGAACUGUCAAUUUCAUAAUAUAUCAAAGCCCGAAGGCAAUAUAGAUCAAAUCAUACAAAAAUAAAUCAAAACUACCAAGACUUCGCAGAAGUAAGGCCGACAAAAUACCUAGACUAGAAACCAAUCUAAGUUCAAAUAAUAAAGAAUUCCAAUAGAAUCCCCAGCUCAAAUCCGACAAAGUAGAUAUGAAAUCUGGACGGCUUCUAUUAGUUGAGGCAGGGUUCUUCUGCUGUAGAUACACAUAAGUCAAUCUCAGUUUUCCCGAACUCUAAUAGGAGGUCUUUUGGACCAACCCAAAUUAGAUUUCUCUCUCCAUCACCUCCCACAAUAGCGUACAAUACAAAACAACAAUUUCAGUUUCUCUAUACAGUUUUGAAUAGUAGUAUUCUUCUUUUUUUUUUUGGUUUUAUGAUCAGUGUCCGAGCCAUCUGGGCACCUUGACUCCUCGUGGAACAGUCAAAAAAAUUCACUCGUACCGUCUAGUCCCGAGAGGUUGCCAAAUUUCAGUAUGACUGAGUUUACCGCUCUAUCAGUUUUAGUUACCCAGGUUGUUACUCCAGAAAACCAAGUCGUUAUGGAUAUAGGGAGUACUGGUUUACAGUCACUUGACUCAUCACUUCUAUGCACAUGUACUUAUGGAUCUAGUUUCUCAAAUUAAUGGGUUUGCUCCAGAAAAUCAAGUUGUUUUCACGUGUUGCUGAUCCAUGCCCUGCAAUUCUGAAAUCUCUGAUGGUCAGUCCACCCCCAUCUCUCUCUCUCUCUCUAGAUUCUUUGCUUCUCCUCUCUUAGUAGUAUUAUCUUAUUGUUUGGGAGUUUGCGUUGUUUGUUCGGAAACUUGAACUUCCGUUACUUAUCAAAAUACAAAAAACAAAAACAAAAAAAAAUCUUGGAUCUUUGUUGUCUCCCUCUAAGUUAUAAACGAACUUCAAUUCACUUCACCAAGUUGGAAGAAAUUUUCUGCAUUAUGGGUUGUUCUCUAUAAUGGGUCGAAAUUCGAAAUUUACAGGUAUUAACUCAUUGAGGGUUUCUUUUCUUUUCUUGGGUUUGGUUUGUUAUUGACUGUGGAGCUGCCCCCGGUAUCUAGUUUCGAAAUUUUCUGCAAUCCCCUAACCCUAUGCCACUUUUUGGAGAAUCAAAUUCCCUUUCCUUUUCUUUGGUGGCCUUUGGAUAGAGGAUCAAGUCAUGGGUUGGGUGUGAUUUCUAUCACUUUCUUUUCAAGCUUUCAUGGGCCUCUGGAGUGAGAAAAGUUAUGGUUCUGAUUGGCAGUUGCAAAGCAAGAAGCAUCUAUUUUUUUCUUCUUCUCAUGACGUGGUAUUGAAUUGGCAGAUACUGUUAGACAAAAAGGAGCUGGGUUUUUUGGUGUACUCUUGGUUUAUUCUUUCAAUUAUUUGGUAUUGAGCAUAUCCUUGGAGAUCCCAUGUUGUAAGGAUUUGAAUUGGUUUUGGGUGGUUUUACUAGAUUCCACUUACAUGGGUUCCAUUGGUUGAAUGAUUUCUUGGCUUGGCUAAGCUUCAUGUGGAUGACUUUGAAGAGUCUGGGAGGGGGGUUAAGUCAUUAAUCAACACUUAUUUAAGCCACUAGAUCAGCUUAUCUGUGGAAGAUGCAAAGAGGAAGUCUAAUCCAGCCGUUCGGUUGCAUGAUUGUGGUUGAUGAGCAAAAUUUCACCGUCCUUGCGUACAGCGAAAAUGCCCCAGAAAUGCUAGACUUAACCCCCCACGCAGUCCCAAGCAUUGAGCAAAAAGAAGCUCUGACAUUUGGAACUGACAUUCGAACUCUAUUUCGAUCCCCCUGUGCUGCUGCACUGCAGAAAGCAGCAAAUUUUAGUGAAGUCAACCUCCUUAACCCUAUAUUGGUCCAUUGUAGAAAUUCAGGGAAACCCUUUUAUGCAAUUCUGCAUCGCAUCGAUGUGGGUUUGGUCAUAGAUUUAGAGCCUGUGAAUGCGGAGGAUGUCCCAGUGACAGCUGCUGGGGCCUUAAAAUCGUAUAAACUCGCAGCCAAAGCCAUAUCUAGAUUACAAUCUUUGCCAACAGGGAAUACAUCACUUUUAUGCGAUGUGUUAGUCCGGGAAUUGGGCGAUUUGACAGGUUAUGAUAGGGUAAUGGUGUACAAAUUUCACGAAGAUGAGCAUGGGGAAGUUAUUUCAGAGUGCCGAAGACCCGAAUUGGAACCUUAUCUUGGGUUGCAUUAUCCGGCUACUGAUAUACCACAAGCUUCUAGAUUCCUCUUCAUGAAAAACAAGGUUAGAAUGAUAUGUGAUUGUUUGACCCCUCCAGUUAGGGUUAUUCAAGACAAGAGAUUUGAUGAACCAUUGAGUCUUUGUGGAUCCACAUUAAGGUCUCCUCAUGGAUGUCAUGCUAAGUACAUGGCGAAUAUGGGGUCCAUUGCAUCUCUUGUGUUAUCCGUCACAAUCAACAAGGAAGACCAGGAGUCAGAGAGUGAUCCACAAAGGGGAAGAAAACUGUGGGGUUUGGUUGUCUGUCAUCACACGAGCCCUAGGUUUGUUCCAUUUCCCUUGAGGUACGCAUGUGAGUUCUUAGUUCAAGUUUUUGGUGUUCAGAUUUACAAGGAAGUCGAGAUGGCGGUUCAACUGAGGGAGAAGCAUAUUUUGCGGACUCAAGCAGUGCUUUGUGACAUGCUCCUAAGAGAUGCUCCCGUUGGAAUUAUCAAUCAAUCGCCAAACGUGAUGGAUCUUGUUAAUUGUGAUGGAGCUGCAAUUUAUUACAGGAACAAAGUUUGGUCUAUUGGGAUCACCCCUUCAGAGGCACAAAUCCGAGAUAUAGCCGAAUGGCUUAUUCAGUACCACGGGGGGAGUACAGGGUUAAGUACUGAUAGCCUCAUGGAAGCUGGUUAUCCAGGUGCUUCCGUACUUGGAGAUCCAGUAUGUGGAAUGGCUGCUGUGAAAAUCACGAAAAGGGACUUCCUUUUCUGGUUUCGGUCCCAUAUGGCAAAGGAGAUCAAGUGGGGUGGAGCAAAACAUGAUCCUGAAGAUAAGGACGAUGGGAGAAGAAUGCAUCCUAGGUCAUCAUUUAAGGCCUUUCUAGAGGUGGUUAAGAGGCGGAGUUUACCAUGGGAAGACGUGGAAAUGGAUGCAAUCCAUUCAUUACAACUGAUAUUGAGAGGAUCUUUGCAAGAUGAGGCCACAGAUGAUUGCAAAAUGAUUGUGAAUGUUCCCUCGGUUGAGACCCAUUUACAGAGGGCGGAUGAGCUGCGGGUUGUGACAAACGAAAUGGUUCGCCUUAUUGAGACUGCUCCAGUUCCCAUAUUGGCUGUUGAUGCCUCUGGUAAUGUUAAUGGGUGGAAUACUAAAAUAGCAGAACUUACUGGGGUAAGCAUGCAUGAAGCAAUUGGCUCAUCUUUUAUCAAUCUUGUUGCAGAUGAUUCAGUUGAUUUGGUGAAAAAUGUUCUCUUCACGGCUUCACAAGGAACAGAAGAGCAAAAUGUUGAAAUUAAGCUCAAAACGGUUGGCCUUCUGGAAGACAAGGGUCCUGUUAUCUUGGUUGCUAAUUCAUGUUGUAGUCGAGACAUAAAUGAAAAUAUUGUUGGUGUUUGCUUUAUUGGGCAAGAUGUUACUGGUCAGAAAAUGAUAAUGGACAAGUACACCCAAAUCCAAGGUGAUUAUGUUGGAAUUGUGCGAAACCCUUCUGCACUUAUUCCUCCAAUAUUUAUGAUGGACGAGCAUGGUCGUUGCACGGAGUGGAAUGAUGUAAUGCAAAAAUUAUCUGGUGUAAUUAGAGAAGAAGCGAUCAACCGAAUGCUUCUAGGAGAGGUUUUUACACUCAACAAUUUUGGUUGUCGGCUCAAAGAUCAAGACACGCUAACCAAGCUCCAGAUAUUACUAAAUAGGGUAAUUUAUAGCCAAGAUGAAGAUAAAUUGUUAUUCGGAUUCUUUGGUGAGAAGGGUAACUUGGUGGAGGCAUUACUUUCUGCCAACAGAAGGACUGAUGUGGAGGGAAAAAUUACUGGGGUUAUAUGCUUUUUGCAUUUGGCCAGUCCAGAACUUCAAUAUGCAUUGCGAGUGCAGAAGAUAUCAGAACAGGCUGCAACAAAUAGUCUCACCAAAUUGGCUUACCUUCGUAGUGAACUCAUUAACCCUUUAAAUGGGAUAAAGUGCAUUCAGAAUCUGAUGGAAUCUUCUGAUUUAAGCAAAGAGCAGAGGCAACUGCUGAAGACAAGCACAUUGUGUCAAGAACAAUUAUCCAAGAUUGUUGAUGACACCGACAUUGAGGGUAUUGAGGAAAGCUAUAUGCAGAUGAACUCAAGUGAAUUUAAUCUUGGGGAAGCUCUUCAAGUGGUCAAAAAUCAAGCUAUGAUUCUAAGUCGGGAGCGGCUAGUUCAGGUCAUAUAUGACUCACCAGCUGAUGUGUCAUCCAUGCUCUUGUAUGGAGACAACUUGAGGCUUCAGCAAGUCCUUUCAGGUUUUCUAACAAAUGCUCUCUCUUUUACUCCUGCAUUCGAAGGGUCAUCAGUUCUGCUCAAGAUAAUCCCGAGAAAGAAGCGUAUAGGGACAAAGAUACAUGUUGUUCAUCUUGAAUUCCGGAUCACCCAUCCAUCCCCGGGGAUACCAGAAGGACUAAUUCAAGAGAUGUUUCACCACAGUCAGAGUGUAUCAAGAGAAGGCCUUGGCUUGUACAUCAGCCAAAAGCUCGUAAAGAUCAUGAAUGGUACUGUGCAAUACCUUAGAGGGGCAGAGACCUGCUCCUUCAUAAUUCUUGUGGAAUUCCCGCUGGUUCAGCAGACAAAUGACUCAAAAGAAUUCUAACAACAAAGAUUCAUUGUCAGUGACAUGCCAUUUGGUAGAAUGGGCGCAUAGCUAUCCUGUGUUGUAUGAAUGAUUAUCAGAAUGAAGGAUGUUGGACUUGGUGUUGCUUAACUUGGUGAACUGGGUAUAUCUCGUUCAAGUUCGCAAAGCAGGAAGCAAUCCAUGGCAUCCAAAUGUAUUCAAAGGACCCAAGACCAUACAGCAAUCCGUCGCCGAGCCCAAAGAGUUAUUGGAAGAAGCGUUGAAGGGUACUCGGAAUGCCCAAGUGUCAAGAGAAGCAAGCUAACAUAAAAAGUUGUCAAAAACCCAGGUGGAGGAGUCUAGAUUUCUGGAAUAUUUUUGCCCGAAUUUGUUAUAACUUAAGGCAUUGUGGUUAAGGUUUAGAAUUUUUUGUGGGACUAUAAAUAGAACAUUUCCCCUGGCUUUAUAAAAUCUACCCUUUUACUUUCUCUCUCUACCUCCCUCUUAGGUUUAGCUCUUAAAGCUCCAUUGUUAGGAGCUUUGAUUUGUAGUUUCUUCUUGCAAUUUUCUUUAAAUCAUAC